ensembl:lincRNA
CACAAAUUCAACCACCUAAGGAACUGCUUUUUCAAGGUGUUUUACUUUGUUGUUUUCUUUGCUGUUGUUGUUACUUACGUCUCAUAGCUUCUUUCAGUUAAGGUAUUGAUGAUGAAGAGGCACUGAUGCUGUACAGGGUCCCAGCAGAAGAAAAAAGCAUCCCUCCUACCUCAUUUCUCCUUUCGGAGGCUAGCAGGAAAUUAAAAAAGGAAAGGAGUUUCAUGCAGUAUUUCUGACAGCAAAUUUCUCAGAAUCCAGAGAUACUUCUUUUCUCUGUAAUAAAUUGCUGCAGAUACAAAGGAACACUUAUGAUUGAUGACUAUCUCUGUUUGCAUGAGCA